GUCAUUAUUUAGGAAAAAUUAAAUAUCAAAUAUUUAAACUGAAAUAUCAAAAAGUUAUAAGCCAAGAGUGUUCUGUUUUCUGUUUCAUGCUUUCCGACAAAAAAAAAAUUUUUUUUUCCUAUAAAGUAUCUUUUAACACAAAUACAAUUUAACAUUUAGGUGGGAUAAAUUGUCCAGGUAAUGCGUGUUGGUAGUUGUCAUAACUGAGGUAACUGUCCUUUUUCAUAGUUUUAUUUUUACAGUUUUGCGAAAAUAUCAGCAACUAUACAUUUUUGAUAAAAUAUUAUGUUGUACAUCUGAAACUAACAAAACGUUGUGUCAACUUUCGUAAAAACGCGUAUCCUUACAUACAAGUUGCACAGAACAUCUUCAAAAACGGUUCAUUAGCCGUUUGAUUUUCUUCUGUGAAGUGACCACAUAUGUCUUUGGUUUCUUUAUUCUUACUGGGUUUUCUUUUCUUACAGAAUAUAAUUUCGUGUAAUUAAUUAUUCGUUUGCUCUUUAUUAUUAAUAAAAACAACUAAAGUAAUUUCAGAAAACAAAAGUUGGUCACGUUUAGCACGGACGAUGCCAGGACACGGGAAACAGUCUUCAAACCAUCCCACUUACCUACCACCAGGUCGUGGGGCAGGUGUCCAUACACACUUACUUCUGGGGGCAUUUUGUUUGUUUUAUCAACAUUCCUUCAGAGUGUAACUCCCCGGGCCACUUGCCUCUCGCCCGGUUUCCCCCGCCCCAGCCCCCGCGCCUUUCCUGCCGACCUGCCCGCCCACUUUGCGCCCUAAGAGUCCCAACUUGGGGACCCUGUGGAGGCCUUGCCCGACUCGUCCCAGACCCCAGCCAGUCCUCUCCUCGUCACCCCAACUUGCCCCAUGUCCGUCCCCGGAGACGGCGCCCACUCGCCGCCUCAUUCUCCGGGGUCCUGAUUUCUGCUCGCCUCGCAGCCCGUCCUCCCCGGCAACCUACCGCCUGAAGAUCCUGGAGGAUUUCGGGGCCGGCAGCCGCGUCGCGGCGCUCAGUCCAGACACGACCGCCGAGCGCCGGGGGUGCCCGUCCGGGAACGGCUCCGGCGGCUAGCUCGAGGCCGCGAUUGGCAGCCGCGGGGGUGGGGCAGACGGCGGCCCCCCGAGGCGCGGGGCGGGCGCUGGGCGGGCGCGUGGCGCGCGCGGGGCGGAGCCUCGGGCGCCCGACCUACCGCGCUGCCGCAGUCGGGCGGGAACCGAACCGUUAAACUGGCGGCGCGCGUUUUCCUGGACGUACGGGGCGCGAGGAGCCGACGCCGCCCCGUUUGGAGGUUGCGCCUGGCGACGAGGAGGCUGCGGGAGGCCUCGCUGAGAAAGUUCCUGCUGGUCUCAUGA
rnacentral:lncRNA from 1 species